ACUGUACACCAUUGUUAACCAGCCAGUGUCGCCUAGCAACCUCAGCCAUGUGCGAGUGUUUUUGCAUGACGUCAAGAGGUCAUUUCCAUUAAUUAUUUUGACCUUCUUGAUGUUAUUUGCAUAAAAAAGGAUCGCACAUCUGUUUUCAUGUGCCUCAGUUAAAGAAGCUGUGCGGAACUUUUCGUUUUCGUUGAUUAUAGCGCCCCUUUGGUCGAAGCGGUAUGACACCCACAGCCUGGUGUCGUAGAAUUCCGACUGCAGCCGGCAAUUACCGCAUGCAUUUGUUUUGGAGAGCGAGAGGAUUAACUAACGUCAGGUCAGUCCAAGUAAUUAGUGGAAACAGCAAAAUUACUCAGUAAAUUCUCCUGUCGUGUUUCUGUUCUAAUCUAAUCUGUCGUGUAUGUUUGAGCUACUAAGGCUACCGUAGUAGUGUGAGCCUCAAGUUAUUCUGGGUAAUGUAGUAACCGUUGUUGUGCUACUGGAAACAAUGAGAAGCAGCCGUGUAUGUUCGGUGUAAGGAGGCAUAAACACUCAAUUUAGUGGCAGAUUGCCAGCUGUGAAACCCAUCAAAUGAUGUGCAGACUCCAGCUUUUGGUGAACACUGGCGUGGUGAUGGUGUGGACCCAGUGAGUGAAGAAUGCAUAAAAGUGCAAGCAACAAGUUGGCCUCAAACUUGGCACGCCCAUGUACAUAUGUCACAUGCCUGCAGCUGCUUCAUAUAUAAUCCAGUGGUGUUUCUCAAAGUAAAGGAAGGAUGCUAAAAACGGCUGAAUUUCAAGGAGGCUAUGUCGUCACUCCAGUGAAGGUCUGUUUCAAUGUCAAGAGGCCUUCAAAUUCUACUGAGGACCAACCCCUUCAGAAAAUUUUCAAGAAUGCAUGUGUGUGUGUCCUCGGUGGGCUUGAAGUACCUACAAUUCUUUGCAUACAAUUUGCUGGAAUUGAAUUCUGUGACUUGUCUUUUUAAGUUUUGUUUGUGAUUCAUCCUGGCUUCAUAUGAGCAGAGGAAAUCUCUGGCAGUCACUAGGCUAAUUUAUACAGUGUAAAAUGUCAUAGGCUUGUGCUAAUAACAUUAGCAUGUUGUAUUUGUGGGGAAAAUGUGUCCAGAUAAAAACAAGUGUUUGUCUGUAAAUGCUGCGAGUUAUAGUGAAGCUGAUUUGUGUACUUGUGUUUGAAAUUGUCUCUAUUAAGCCAUGUUUAAUGUGUGUUUAAUGUGUGUUUUGAAUCAACUAAACUUUACAGCACUUCACAGAAA